GUGUUGUAUGAAAGGAAAGAAGGUUAGCACUCCCCUUGGUAAGGAUGGAAGACGUCCAUGCAUAUGGUUAAGGCAUUGCCACCUACUUCAUGACAUUUAACCAAGCUUCCUG
rnacentral:ncRNA from 1 species